UACAGAGGGUGCGAGCGUUGUCCGGAAUCACUGGGCGUAAAGGGCGCGUAGGUGGCGCUCCAAGUCCGUGGUGAAAGCUCGAUGCUCAACAUCGAGUCGGCCACGGAGACUGGAGGGCUCGAGCACUGUAGGGGCAGAUGGAAUUCCGGGUGUAGCGGUGGAAUGCGCAGAUAUCAGGAGGAACACCGGUGGCGAAGGCGGGACUCUGGGCCGAUACUGACGCUGAGGAGCGAAAGCGUGGGGAGCAAACAG
rnacentral:rRNA from 1 species